rnacentral:piRNA from 1 species
UAGAAAUCGAAUUUUCAAAAU